UUUUAUUUGUUGCUUUCGAUAUCACUGUGUCAGUGGUUACUCACUGUCACUGAGCUACCCUCUCAGCUCGGCGAUGCUCUCUCUCCACCGUCUCCCUGGCGUCCCCACCGCCAAACCACCACUUUUUCCGUCCACCUCAACCUUCACCCACCCACCACGACGACCUACAUUCCUCUUCCCCCAAUCCAAAACCCUACCAAAACCCCCAAAAUUCCACAAAUCCCCCACCGCCCUCCUCCAGUGGAACCGCAAACCCCAGCUCUCCGGCGAAACCCCCCGCGUAGUCGUCGUCACCUCCGGAAAAGGCGGCGUCGGCAAGACCACAACCACCGCCAACAUCGGCCUCUCCCUCGCCAGACUCGACUUCUCCGUCGUCGCCAUCGACGCCGACGUCGGCCUCCGCAACCUCGACCUCCUCUUAGGCCUCGAGAAUCGCGUGAACUACACCGCUCUCGAGGUUCUCAACGGCGAUUGCAGGCUCGACCAGGCUCUCGUCAGGGACAAGCGUUGGUCCAACUUUGAAUUGCUCUGCAUUUCAAAACCUAGGUCAAAAUUGCCCCUAGGGUUUGGAGGAAAAGCCCUAAUUUGGCUCGUCGAUGCUCUCAAAUCGCGCACAGAAGGUUGCCCUGACUUCAUCCUCAUUGAUUGCCCCGCCGGCAUCGACGCUGGAUUCAUCACCGCCAUAACGCCGGCGAACGAGGCAAUUCUGAUAACCACACCAGAUAUAACUGCCCUUAGAGAUGCUGAUAGGGUUACUGGUUUGCUUGAAUGUGAUGGAAUUAGGGACAUAAAGAUGAUUGUGAAUAGAGUUAGGACAGAUAUGAUUAAGGGUGAGGACAUGAUGUCUGUUCUUGAUGUACAAGAAAUGCUAGGGUUGCCACUGCUCGGAGCGAUUCCGGAGGAUUCGGAGGUUAUAAGGAGUACCAAUAGAGGGUACCCUUUGGUUCUGAAUAAGCCUCCAACAUUGGCAGGGUUGGCAUUUGAGCAAGCAGCUUGGAGGCUUGUGGAGCAAGAUACAAUGCAAGCUGUCAUGGUUGAGGAGGAGCCAAAGCGUGGCUUUUUCUCCUUCUUUGGUGGCUAACUAGAACACAAUGAAUCCAAGUUUGGAAUGUUUUUUCAAAUUUCAACUUUGCUUGUGAUUGGUUUUUUGGUUCUGUUUUCAAGUUAGUGUGAUUUUGUUUGCUUCUUAUUUUAGGAUGGAGUAUUGCAAAUUUGUUAUCAUGUGUAGGUGGUAGUGGGAGAGGAGCAAGGAGGAAGCUGUGUACAGUACAGUUUUGGGGGGUGUUGUUUAUGCCUUGGAACAUGGAACAAAAUUCUCUCCUUGAUGAGUAAGUUUACACUUCACCAUGCAUGAUAAGUUCAUUUUUGUUUCUAAAUUCUAAUGCAGCAUGUAGUAGUGUGUCACUGAUAAAAAUCUGCUUAAUAUGAUGCGAAACUUGAUCCCUGCUAUGAUUUUAUAAUGUUAUGGAAGGUUUGUCCGUCUCAGCAAUUUAUCAAUCUCUGCGAUCCUAGAAUACUGCAUAUAUGAAUUAUGAAUCAUGAGGCACCUUUUUCUUCUAUAACAUAUUAAAUUAGAAUCAAAUUCUGUUUAUUGCCAAGGAACUCUUUUUUUUUGUUUUUUGGUGCAUACAACACACACUCUCUACUCACACACACACACAUUAAAGUAUUAAACACUCUCUUUUUCACCAACAAAGAUUCGAACUUAUGUGGCACUUUUAGGAGGCAAAUGUAUUUGCCAUUAGGAUAAGCCUCAGCCACAUUGCCAAGGAACUUGUAUUGUAAACAUAGCAGUUUUUUAGCAGGUUUUAUUGUUUUUUAGGGUCAAGUUGAUUCGUCAUACGUAAAUGGAUAAUUUUGGGCCGAAGUUUAGUUAAUUAAUGGUACAUGAGUAUAUGCCUAUAUGAUAUGUAGUAGUAUUAUUGUUUUGACUCCGGAGUCUUGCAUUUGUGCCAAAAAGUCCAUUGGCCCAGUUAACUGGUCGAGACUCCAUGGUUUCUGUUGGGCUCAGCUUGGUAUUAUUGAAAGCGACACCUCUUUAUGUUAAAAAGUAUUUGGUAAUACUAAUGACAAACUAUUUGGUCUAAACUAACUUGGUUUGAGUUAGGCAAGUCCAUUCCGAAAGUAAAUGUGUUGCGAUAUUACUUUUUACAUGUUUGUAACAAAACUAUUGGCCACUCAGGAUUAUUCUUUUAACUAUAUCGUUAUUUUCAUCAUAAAAAAAAACUAUAUCAUUACUUCAUACAUACAUGCACCGUUGUGGUAACUAUUGGAUAUUUUUGCGUGUACAUUAAGGUUGAUAAGAAGAAGAAAAUCAU